rnacentral:rRNA from 1 species
CUUGAGCACGUAGGUGGGUUUGUAAGUCAGAUGUGAAAGCCUUCUGUUCAACGGAAGAAUUGCAUCUGAAACUACAAGUCUUGAGUGUAGGAGGGGAGAAUGGAACUUCUGGUGGAGCGGUGAAAUCCGUAGAUAUCAGAAGGAACGCCGGCGGCGAAAGCGAUUCUCUGGCCUAUUACUGACACUCAGUGUGCGAAAGCUAGGGGAGCAAACGGGAUUAGAUACCCCGGUAGUCCUAGCCGUAAACGAUGGGCACUAAGUAGUGGGAAUUACCGAUGUUCUCUCUGCCGUAGCUAACGCAUUAAGUGCCCCGCCUGGGGAGUACGGCCGCAAGGCUAAAACUCAAAAGAAUUGACGGGGGCUCGCACAAGCGGUGGAGCAUGUGGCUUAAUUCGAUGCAACGCGAAAAACCUUACCGGGGCUUGACAUGUUAGAAGUAGGAACCUGAAAGGGUAACGAACGGUAUCCAGUCCGUGACUAUCACAGGUGUUGCAUGGCUGUCGUCAGCUCGUGUCGUGAGACGUUGGGUUAAGUCCCCUAACGAGCGAAACCCUUGUUUUUAGUUACCAGCGGGUUAUGCCGGGUACUCUAGAAAGACUGCCGUCGUCAAGACGGAGGAAGGUGGGGAUGACGUCAAGUCAUCAUGGCCCUUAUGCCCCGGGCUGCACACGUGCUACAAUGGUCGGUACAAACGGAAGCGAAGCCGAGAGGUGAAGCGAAUCCAAGC